GACAGAGGGUGCAAACGUUGUUCGGAAUUACUGGGCGUAAAGCGCGUGUAGGCUGCUCGGAAAGUCGGAUGUGAAAGCCCUGGGCUCAACCUAGGAAGUGCAUUCGAAACUUCUGAGCUGGAGUGCUGGAGAGGAAGGCGGAAUUCUCGGUGUAGAGGUGAAAUUCGUAGAUAUCGAGAGGAACACCGGUGGCGAAGGCGGCCUUCUGGACAGCAACUGACGCUGAGGAGCGAAAGCCAGGGGAGCAAACGGG
rnacentral:rRNA from 1 species